UCCCCGAGACCGCUUGGCCUAAUACAUGCAAGUUCGAGCGGACAGAUGGGGAGCUUGCUCCCUGAUGUUAGCGGCGGACGGGUGAGUAACACGGGGGUAACCUGCCUGUAAGACUGGGAUAACUCCGGGAAACCGGGGCUAAUACCGGAUGCUUGUUUGAACCGCAUGGUUCAAACAUAAAAGGUGGCUUCGGCUACCACUUACAGAUGGACCCGCGGCGCAUUAGCUAGUUGGUGAGGUAAUGGCUCACCAAGGCAACGAUGCGUAGCCGACCUGAGAGGGUGAUCGGCCACACUGGGACUGAGACACGGCCCAGACUCCUACGGGAGGUAGCAGUAGGGAAUCUUCCGCAAUGGACGAAGGUCUGACGGAGCAUGGCCGCUUGAGUGAUGACGGUUUUCGGAUCGUAAAGCUCUGUUGUUAGGGAAGACCAGUUUCCGUUCGAAAUAGGGCGGUACCUUGACGGUACCUAUCCAGAAAGGUCAUCGGCUAGACUACGUAGCCAGCAGCCGCGGUAAUACGUAGGUGGCAAGCGUUGUCCCGGAAUUAUUGGGGCGUAAAGGGCUCGCAGGCGGUUUCUUAAAGUCUGAUGUGAAAGCCCCCGGCUCAACCGGGGGAGGGUCAUUGGGAACUGGGGAACUUGAGUGCAGAAGAGGAGAGUGGAAUUCCACGUGUAGCGGUGAAAUGCGUAGAGAUGUGGAGGAACACCAGUGGCGAAGGCGACUCUCUGGUCUGUAACUGACGCUGAGGAGCGAAAGCGUGGGGAGCGAACAGGAUUAGAUACCCUGGUAGUUCCACCGCCGUAAACGAUGAGUGCUAAGUGUUAGGGUGUUUCCGCCCCUUAGUGCUGCAGCUAACGCAUUAAGCACUUCCGCCUGGGGGAGUACGGUCGCUAGACUGAAACUCAAAGGAAUUUGACGGGGGGCCCGCAUCAAGCCGGUGGAGCAUGUGGUUUAAUUCGAAGCAACGCGAAGAACCUUACCAGGUCUUGACAUCCUCUGACAAUCCUAGAGAUAGGACGUCCCCUUCGGGGGCAGAGUGACAGGUGGUGCAUGGUUGUCGUCAGCUCGUGUCGUGAGAUGUUGGGUUAAGUCCCGCAACGAGCGCAACCCUUGAUCUUAGUUGCCAGCAUUCAGUUGGGCACUCUAAGGUGACUGCCGGUGACAAACCGGAGGAAGGUGGGGAUGACGUCAAAUCAUCAUGCCCCUUAUGACCUGGGCUACACACGUGCUACAAUGGACAGAACAAAGGGCAGCGAAACCGCGAGGUUAAGCCAAUCCCACAAAUCUGUUCUCAGUUCGGAUCGCAGUCUGCAACUCGACUGCGUGAAGCUGGAAUCGCUAGUAAUCGCGGAUCAGCAUGCCGCGGUGAAUACGUUCCCGGGCCUUGUACACACCGCCCGUCGCGCCACGAGAGUUUGUAACACCCGAAGUCGGUGAGGUAACCUUUAGGAGCCAGCCGCCGAAGGGGACAUUAACCACAAUAAAUUUCGCUCCUG
rnacentral:rRNA from 1 species